AACGCACAUUGCGCCCUUUGGUAUUCCGAAGGGCAUGCCUGUCUGAGCGUCAAUAAAUCAAUCAAACUUUGGUUUGGAAAUGGAGGAAGCGUUGGCUACAUCGCUCUUCUAUAAGCUAUUGGCGAUGGUGUUCUAGCUUGUAAGACGUAGUAAGUAAUUUCUCGUCAACGCAGCUGUUCUUGCUAUCUGUCAGCUGAAUAAUUUAUUUCUACAGCUUGACCUCAGAUCAGGUAGGGAUACCCCCUGAACUUAA
rnacentral:misc_RNA from 1 species